UACGAAGGGAGCUAGCGUUGUUCGGAAUCACUGGGCGUAAAGCGCACGUAGGCGGAUGUGUCAGUCAGGGGUGAAAUCCCGGAGCUCAACUUCGGAACUGCCUCUGAUACAGCACGUCUUGAGUCCGAGAGAGGUGGGUGGAAUUCCUAGUGUAGAGGUGAAAUUCGUAGAUAUUAGGAAGAACACCAGUGGCGAAGGCGGCCCACUGGCUCGGUACUGACGCUGAGGUGCGAAAGCGUGGGGAGCAAACAGG
rnacentral:rRNA from 1 species